rnacentral:rRNA from 1 species
AACGAACGCUGGCGGCAGGCCUAACACAUGCAAGUCGAACGCUGUAGCAAUACAGAGUGGCAGACGGGUGAGUAACGCGUGGGAACCUUCCCAAUGGUACGGAAUAGCCCAGGGAAACUUGGGGUAAUACCGUAUACGCCCCUAGGGGGAAAGAUUUAUCGCCAUUGGAUGGGCCCGCGUCGGAUUAGCUAGUUGGUGAGGUAAUGGUUCACCAAGGCAACGAUCCGUAGCUGGUUUGAGAGAAUGACCAGCCACACUGGGACUGAGACACCGCCCAGACUCCUACGGGAGGCAGCAGUGGGGAAUCUUGGACAAUGGGCGCAAGCCUGAUCCAGCCAUGCCGCGUGAGUGACGAAGGCCUUAGGGUUGUAAAGCUCUUUUGCCGGGGACGAUAAUGACGGUACCCGGAGAAUAAGUCCCGGCUAACUUCAUGCCAGCCGCCGCCGUAA